CACACACACACACACAUACAUGAAUCAACAUUGUACAGGUUAACUACACAGCAGUUACAUAAGCGUUACUUCUAUACCGUAUGGGUUAAAUGAAUACGGUUAAUUAAUUCAAGCCUGUAAGAAUAAGCCUGAACACUGCAGUCCUGAUUCAACACUGUCUCACACACACACAGAGACAACACUGUCACACACGCGCGCGCAGACAACACUGUCUCACACAGAGACAACACUGUCACCCACAGAGACAACACUGUCACACACAGAGACAACACUGUCACCCACAGAGACAACACUGUCACACACACACACACACACAGAGAGAGAGACAACACUGUCACACACACACACACACACACACACACACAGAGAGAGACAACACUGUCACACACACACACACACACACACACACACAGAGAGAGAGAGACACAACACUGUCACACACACAGAGACAACACUGUCACACACACACACCAC
ensembl:lncRNA